GGCAGAAACUGGCCCAGUACAAAACCAGCUGGCUGCGUAAAUACCAGCCCAGUGCUGACAUGAGCCUGGCCAGCGAGGGAGAGGACGAUGAGAUGCUAGACGACGAAGAAGACGAGGGGAAGACGACUAUUCCAGACGAAAGAAACAGGAAGUCCAGACCAGAGCUCCACGAUGUCAGUGUGGUGCACAGGAGAGGAGACAGAGAGAGAAUCCCCGUCAGAUACUGCACACUGGGAACCAGAGACAUCGCCAGGUAAUAAAGCUGUAAUAUGACACGUGACUGAUGGAAACGUUAAGUUAUAUAAUAUACAGCGCUACGCCGCAGGGUUAUAUAGAGGCGUAUAAUAUACAGCGGAUAUAUAUAAAAAGUCCAACCCGGUUGCCUACGUACAGUAGACACACCCCUAAACUAAUACUUUACUUUAUUAAACUAAUACUUCAUUACAGUUACGCGGCGGUAAACAGUCGACCGUCCCGAUUUUUUCAGAAUCGGGAUUGUAUACGCAGUGUAUAUAGUCAAAUAUCAUGUUAACAGUGUUCGUGACGUGUUAAAGGACUGUGCGCUGUGAUUUACU
ensembl:lncRNA